rnacentral:rRNA from 1 species
UACGGAGGGUGCAAACGUUGCUCGGAAUCACUGGGCGUAAAGGGUGCGUAGGCGGCUUAAUAAGUCAGGCGUGAAAGCCCUCGGCUCAACCGAGGAACUGCGCUUGAUACUGUUAAGCUUGAGAUUGGUAGAGGGAAGCGGAAUUCCUGGUGUAGCGGUGAAAUGCGUUGAUAUCAGGAGGAACAUCUGUGGCGAAGGCGGCUUCCUGGGCCAAUACUGACGCUAAUGCACGAAAGCGUUGGGUAGCAAACGGG